AAGUCGUAACAAGGUCUCCGUUGGUGAACCAGCGGAGGGAUCAUUACCGAGUUUACAACUCCCAAACCCAAUGUGAACGCAUACCAUACAGUUGCUUCGGCGGGCUCAGCCCCGGGGCCAGGCUCGCCAGGGCCUGCCCGGAACCAGGCGCCCGCCGGGGGACCAAAACUCGUGUAUCUCUCUUGGAAUGUCUGAGUGGAUAAAAGAAAAUGAAUCAAAACUUUCAACAACGGAUCUCUUGGUUCUG
rnacentral:misc_RNA from 1 species